rnacentral:tRNA from 1 species
GGGAAUGUGGCUUAGUGGUAGAGUGCUUGCCUGGCAUGUAUGAAGCCCUGGGUUCGAUUCCUCAGUACCA